rnacentral:rRNA from 1 species
UACGAAGGGGGCUAGCGUUGCUCGGAAUCACUGGGCGUAAAGCGCACGUAGGCGGACUCUUAAGUCGGUGGUGAAAUCCUGGAGCUCAACUCCAGAACCGCCUUUGAUACUGAAGAUCUUGAGUUCGGGAGAGGUGAGUGGAACUGCGAGUGUAGAGGUGAAAUUCGUAGAUAUUCGCAAGAACACCAGUGGCGAAGGCGGCUCACUGGCCCGAUACUGACGCUGAGGAGCGAAAGCGUGGGGAGCGAACAGG